GGGGCUGAUUCUGGAUUCGACGGGAUUUGCGAAACCCAAGGUGCAUGCCGAGGGGCGGUUGGCCUCGUAAAAAGCCGCAAAAAAAUAGUCGCAAACGACGAAACCUACGCUUUAGCAGCUUAAUAACCUGCUUAGAGCCCUCUCUCCCUAGCCUCCGCUCUUAGGACGGGGAUCAAGAGAGAUCAAACCCAAAAGAGAUCGCGCGGAUGCCCUGCCUGGGGUUGAAGCGUUAAAACGAAUCAGGCUAGUCUGGUAGUGGCGUGUCCGUCCGCAGGUGCCAGGCGAAUGUAAAGACUGACUAAGCAUGUAGUACCGAGGAUGUAGGAAUUUCGGACGCGGGUUCAACUCCCGCCAGCUCCACCA
rnacentral:tmRNA from 1 species